AUAACAGCUGAAUCAGCAAACCACGUGGUCACCCAGCACCCAUGGAACAUGGAGCAAGUGGCUAACUAUUGUCUCAGUGUUAGGUGGAGGCUUUGUCCAGUACUAUAAUUUGUAGACCACAGUGACAUAGUCAGGACCAUGGAGAGAGACCAUUGCUGAGGAGGUGGGAAUGGCAAGUUCCUGGCCAAUCAGAUGAUCCUACAUGACGAAGUUGCUCGUAAAGAUGCAAGUCUGAUGACAAUCUCAGGAUGAUGAGGCCAUGUUCAAGCUGAACCCCAAUGCAAAGACGUCAAGUUCAACCUGAAUGCCUAAGACUUCAAACCUCCGAGAGCAAGCUUCUCUCCAGUGGUCACUGCCUCCUCCACACCUCUCCGACAAGGCGACUGUCGAGUCCUCAGCCUCUGCCCUACAAGAGCAAAAUAAUUCCGUUUCUGCGUGUGUCACCAAACUGGAGGUAAAAGUUUACGUAAGGACUUUGAGAAGGAGCGGAAAAAUGGGUACAACACGUUUCCCUGUACA